rnacentral:rRNA from 1 species
GAUUCUGGCUCAGGAUGAACGCUAGCGGCAGGCUUAACACAUGCAAGUCGAGGGGCAUCGGGAGUAGCAAUACUGCCGGCGACCGGCGCAAGGGUGCGUAACGCGUGAGCAACAUGCCCGUAUCAGGGGGAUAAUCCAUGGAAACGUGGUCUAAUACCCCAUAGUAAUUAUGUAAGGCAUCUUAUAUAAUUUAAAGCUUUGGUGGAUACGGAUUGGCUCGCGUGACAUUAGCUAGAUGGUAAGAUAACGGCUUACCAUGGCUACGAUGUCUAGGGGUUCUGAGAGGAAGGUCCCCCACACUGGAACUGAGACACGGUCCAGACUCCUACGGGAGGCAGCAGUGAGGAAUAUUGGACAAUGGAUGGAAAUCUGAUCCAGCCAUGCCGCGUGCAGGAAGACGGCCCUAUGGGUUGUAAACUGCUUUUGUAUGGGAGCAAUAAGGGCUACGUGUAGUCCGAUGAGAGUACCAUACGAAUAAGCACCGGCUAACUCCGUGCCAGCCGCCGC